AAUUUCUUUAAAAAAGGCAGCAAGUGGGGAUAUUUCAGCUAAAAACAAAAAAGAAGAAGAAAAUAUGCAGAGUAGAAAAUCGGCAGAACACAAAAAGAAAUGAGGAAGAAAACUUUUUAGCCAAAAAUUCUAUUCUGGAUGAAAUUCCUCAAGUUAAUGCCCAUAUCCCCCAAAACACUCACCUCAAUCCACAAUCCCUAAAAUCUCUCCCCAAAAUCGUCCACUACUUCCCUAC
rnacentral:lncRNA from 1 species